rnacentral:rRNA from 1 species
UACGUAGGGUGCGAGCAUUGUCCGGAAUUAUUGGGCGUAAAGAGCUCGUAGGCGGCUUGUCGCGUCGGAUGUGAAAGCCCGGGGCUUAACCCCGGGUCUGCAUUCGAUACUGGCAGGCUAGAGUUCGGUAGGGGAGAUCGGAAUUCCUGGUGUAGCGGUGAAAUGCGCAGAUAUCAGGAGGAACACCGGUGGCGAAGGCGGAUCUCUGGGCCGAUACUGACGCUGAGGAGCGAAAGCGUGGGGAGCGAACAGG